UGGCUCUGGCAUCGAUGAAGAACGCAGCGAAAUGCGAUAAGUAAUGUGAAUUGCAGAAUUCAGUGAACCAUCGAAUCUUUGAACGCACAUUGCGCCCGCCAGUAUUCUGGCGGGCAUGCCUGUUCGAGCGUCAUUAACACCCCUCAAGCCCCCGGGCUUGGCGUUGGGGAUCAGCAGUGGGCGUCGGGGCACCUCCGGGUCCCCCCCUUCGCUUUCCUGUCCCCCAAAUCCAGUGGCGGUCACCUCGCGGCCCUCCCUUGCGUAGUAGAAAACACCUCGCACCGGAGCCCGUGGCGGCCUGCCGUAAAACCCCCGACUUUGCAACAGUUGACCUCGAAUCAGGUAGGACUACCCGCUGA
rnacentral:misc_RNA from 1 species